UACAGAGGUCUCAAGCGUUGUUCGGAUUCAUUGGGCGUAAAGGGUGCGUAGGCGGCGCGGUAAGUCGGGUGUGAAAUCUCGGAGCUUAACUCCGAAACUGCAUUCGAUACUGGCGUGCUUGAGGACUGGAGAGGAGACUGGAAUUUACGGUGUAGCGGUGAAAUGCGUAGAUAUCGUAAGGAAGACCAGUGGCGAAGGCGGGUCUCUGGACAGUUCCUGA
rnacentral:rRNA from 1 species